rnacentral:rRNA from 1 species
UACAGAGGGUGCGAGCGUUGUUCGGAAUUAUUGGGCGUAAAGGGCGCGUAGGCGGCGCCACAAGUCACUUGUGAAAACUCUGGGCUCAACUCAGAGACGCCACCCGAUACUGCCGUGACUGGAGUCUGGUAGGGGAGUGUGGAAUUCCCGGUGUAGCGGUGAAAUGCGCAGAUAUCGGGAGGAACACCAGUGGCGAAGGCGGCACUCUGGGCCAGUACUGACGCUGAGGAGCGAAAGCGUGGGUAGCGAACAGG